GAUGAACGCUGGCGGCAGGCCUAAUACACGCAAGUCGAGCGGAUGAACGAGAAUCUUGCUUCUCUUAUGUUACCGGCGGACGGGUGAUGAAUACGUGGAUAACCUACCUAGAAGACUAACAUAACUUCGCGAAACCUGAUCUCAUACCCGAUAUUAUUGUGAACGUCAUGGUUCAAAAGUGCAAGACGUUCUUGCUGUCACUUAUACAUAUAUCCUGGCUGCAUUAGCUAGUUGGUAAGGUAACGGCUUACCAAGGCAACGAUGCAUAGCUGACCUGAGAGGGUGAUCAGUCACACUGGAACUGAGACACGGUCCAGACUCCUACGGGAGGCAGCAGUAGGGAAUCUUGCGCAAUGGGCGAAAGCCUGACGGAGCCACGCCGCGUGAGUGAUGAAGGUCUUCGGAUUGUAAAGCUCUGUUAUUAGGGAAGAAGAUAAGUGUAAGUAAAUGUGGAUAUUUUGACGGUACCAACAGAAAAAGCAACGGCUAACUACGUG
rnacentral:rRNA from 1 species